rnacentral:rRNA from 1 species
GAGGAGAGUACCCGGUCUAGGUUCGUCCUAGUGUACUGGGUGACUCGAAUCUUUUUUCUGGGGAAAUGGGAUGCCCUUAAUUGGAUGUCCCAGGGAACCAGGACGAUUACCUUGAGAAAAAUAGAGUGUUCAAAGCAGGCUACUUAAUGCUUGAAUACGUUAGCAUGGAAUAAUAAGAUAGGACGUUGGUUCUAUUUUGUUGGUUUUAAGGACUGAUGUC